GUGGGGAAUCUUGCGCAAUGGGCGAAAGCCUGACGCAGCCAUGCCGCGUGAAUGAUGAAGGUCUUAGGAUUGUAAAAUUCUUUCACCGGGGACGAUAAUGACGGUACCCGGAGAAGAAGCUCCGGCUAACUUCGUGCCAGCAGCCGCGGUAAUACGAAGGGGGCUAGCGUUGCUCGGAAUUACUGGGCGUAAAGGGCGCGUAGGCGGACAGCUUAGUCAGAGGUGAAAGCCCAGGGCUCAACCUUGGAAUUGCCUUUGAUACUGGCUGUCUUGAGUUUGGGAGAGGUGAGUGGAACUCCGAGAGUAGAGGUGAAAUUCGUAGAUAUUCGGAAGAACACCAGUGGCGAAGGCGACUCACUGGCCCAAUACUGACGCUGAGGCGCGAAAGCGUGGGGAGCAAACAGGAUUAGAAACCCCGGUAGUCC
rnacentral:rRNA from 1 species